GACGAACGCUGGCGGCGUGCUUAACACAUGCAAGUCGAACGGUAAGGCCCUUCGGGGUACACGAGUGGCGAACGGGUGAGUAACACGUGGGUGAUCUGCCCUGCACUUCGGGAUAAGCCUGGGAAACUGGGUCUAAUACCGGAUAGGACUCCUGGCUUCAUGGUUGGGGGUGUAAAGCUUUUGCGGUGUGGGAUGGGGCCCGCGGCCUAUCAGCUUGUUGGUGGGGUAAUGGCCUACCAAGGCGACGACGGGUAGCCGGCCUGAGAGGGUGACCGGCCACACUGGGACUGAGAUACGGCCCAGACUCCUACGGGAGGCAGCAGUGGGAAUAUUGCACAAUGGGCGCAAGCCUGAUGCAGCGACGCCGCGUGAGGGAUGAACGGCCUUCGGGUUGUAAACCGUCUUUCAAUAGGACGAAGCGCAAGGUGACGGUACCGUAUAGAAGAAGGACCGGCCAACUACGUGCCAGCAGCCGCGGUAA
rnacentral:rRNA from 1 species